rnacentral:rRNA from 1 species
GGGGAAUAUUGCACAAUGGGCGAAAGCCUGAUGCAGCAACGCCGCGUGAGUGAUGAAGGCCUUCGGGUCGUAAAGCUCUUUGAUCAGGGAUGAUAAUGACAGUACCUGAAAAACAAGCCACGGCUAACUACGUGCCAGCAGCCGCGGUAAUACGUAGGUGGCGAGCGUUGUCCGGAAUUAUUGGGCGUAAAGGAUGCGUAGGUGGAUAUUUAAGUGGGAUGUGAAAUCCCCGGGCUCAACCCGGGAACUGCAUUCCAUACUGGAUAUCUAGAGUGCAGGAGAGGAAAGCGGAAUUCCUAGUGUAGCGGUGAAAUGCGUAGAUAUUAGGAGGAACACCAGUGGCGAAGGCGGCUUUCUGGACUGUAACUGACACUGAGGCAUGAAAGCGUGGGUAGCAAAC